GAGCUUGUAGCUUAAUGGUUAAAGCAUGCCGCUCAUAACGGUGUCAUUGUAGGUUCAAGUCCUGCCUGGCUUA
rnacentral:tRNA from 1 species